GGGGUUGUGGCGCAGUGGUAGCGCGUCCGCUUUGCACUGUCUGAAAUGCGGAAGGACUAGGGUUCGAUCCCCUACUGCUCCA